AUUGAACGCUGGCGGCAGGCCUAACACAUGCAAGUCGAGCGAGCGGCGGACGGGUGAGUAAUGGCUGGGAAACUGCCUGAUGGAGGGGGAUAACUACUGGAAACGGUAGCGAAUACCGCAUACCAUCAGAUGUGCCCAGAUGGGAUUAGCUGGUAGGUGGGGUAACGGCUCACCUAGGCGACGAUCCCUAGCUGGUCUUAGAGGAUAACCAGCCUCGCUGGAACUGAGACACGGUCCAGACUCCACCAUCACCAUCACUUCUCUAAUAUUGCGCAAUGUGCGCAAGCCUGAUUCAGCCAUGCCGCGUGUGUGAAGAGUACCUUCGGGUUUUAAAGCACUUUCAGCGGGGAGGCGUUACCCGCAGAAGAAGCACCGGCUAACUCCGUGCCAGCAGCCGCGGUAAUUC
rnacentral:rRNA from 1 species